rnacentral:rRNA from 1 species
UACGUAGGGUGCAAGCGUUGUCCGGAAUUAUUGGGCGUAAAGAGCUCGUAGGCGGUUCGGUAAGUCGGGUGUGAAAACUCUGGGCUCAACCCAGAGCCGCCACCCGAUACUGCUGUGACUCGAGUGCGGUAGGGGAGCGGGGAAUUCCUGGUGUAGCGGUGAAAUGCGUAGAUAUCGGGAGGAACACCUGUGGCGAAAGCGGCGCACUGGACCAUAACUGACGCUGAGGCGCGAAAGCUAGGGGAGCAAACAGG